rnacentral:rRNA from 1 species
GGGGAGCACCACAACGGGUGGAGCUUGCGGUUUAAUUGGAUUCAACGCCGAAAAACUCACCAGCAGCGACUGUUACAUGAAAGUCAGGUUGAUGACCUUACUAGAUUUUCAGAGAGGUGGUGCAUGGCCGUCGUCAGUUCGUACCGUAAGGCGUUCUCUUAAGUGAGAUAACGAACAAGACCCUCACCAAUAGUUGCUACCGUAUCCCCCGGGGUACGAGCACACUAUCGGGACCGCUGGCGCUAAGUCAGAGGAAGGAGAGGUCAACGGUAGGUCAGUAUGCCCCGAAUCUGCUGGGCUACACGCGCGCUACAAAGGGCGGGACAAUGGGCUCCGACGCCGAAAGGCGAAGGCAAUCUCGAAACCCGUCCGUAGUUCGGAUUGAGGGUUGUAACUCACCCUCAUGAAGCUGGAUUCCGUAGUAAUCGCGAGUCAACAACUCGCGGUGAAUAUGCCCCUGCUCCUUGCACACACCGCCCGUCAAACCACCCGAGUUGGGUUUCAGUGAGGCUGUCUCUUCCUGGGAUUGUCGAACUGAGAUUUAGCAAGGAGGGUUAAGUCGUAACAAGGUAUCUGUAGGGGAACCUGCAGAUG